UACGUAGGGUGCGAGCGUUAAUCGGAAUUACUGGGCGUAAAGCGUGCGCAGGCGGUUUGUUAAGACAGAUGUGAAAUCCCCGGGCUUAACCUGGGAACUGCAUUUGUGACUGGCAAGCUAGAGUAUGGCAGAGGGGGGGUAGAAUUCCACGUGUAGCAGUGAAAUGCGUAGAGAUGUGGAGGAAUACCGAUGGCGAAAGGCAGCCCCCUGGGCCAAUACUGACGCUCAUGCA
rnacentral:rRNA from 1 species